rnacentral:lncRNA from 1 species
CCCCUUGUAUGCACCUGCACCCCCUGUAUGCACCCGCACUCCUUGCACGCCUGCACCCCCUGCAUGCACCCGCGUCCGUGUGCGCCCCCCCUGCACCCACGUGCACCCCCCUGUGUGUGUGUGCACCCUGCUGCGUGCACCUGCACCCACCUGCACGCGUGUGCACCUGCAUGGGUGUGCUUCCUCACAUGCACCUGCACCCACGUGCACCCCGAUGCGUGCACCUGCACCCCCUGCAUGCAUGCGGCAUCGCCUGGUGUGCACCUGCUUGCACACGCUUGCACACGUUUGCACCCCUUGCACGUGUGCAUCUAUGGCCCUGUGCCUCCUGCACCCGUGUGCGCACCGUGCAUGCACUUGCACACCAUUGCACUUGUGUGUGCAACCCAUGUGCAUGCACCUGCAUCCGUGUGCACACUUUGCAUGCACUCACACCCCUUUGCAUGUGUGUGCAACCCCGUGUGUGCACCCUGUGCAUGCACCUGCACCUCUGUGCAUGCACCAGCCCCCCCUUUGCACCCACGUGUGCAGCCCCCUGCAUGCACCCGUGUGCACCCUGUGCAUGCACCUGCACCGCCUUGCACCCACGUGUGCAGCCCUUGCACCAGCACCCUCACCCGGCUACCCUCGUGCAACCCCUGCACCCACUUGUGCAUCCCCUUGCACGCGCGUUUGCACACCUGCACGUGCUGUUUGCAAGCGUGCCCCCCCCCCCCCCCCGUCUCUCUUUUAUGGGGGGCAUGUCGGGGGGGGGGGGGGCAAAAGGGGGGUGCAGGAGAAGGGAUGCAUGAGUGUGCAAGGCCGUGCACGAGUGUGCAACGCACGAG